UUUUGUGGAGGGUUCGAUUCUGGCUCAGGAUGAACGCUGGCGGCGUGCUUAACACAUGCAAGUCGAACGGGAUCCUGCGGGCUUUGCUUGCGGGUGAGAGUGGCGAACGGGUGAGUAAUGCGUGACCAACCUGCCCCAUGCUCCGGAAUAGCUCCUGGAA
rnacentral:rRNA from 1 species